AUGCUGCGAGCAAACAGGGUACAGACGCAUGGCAAUCGUGGUGGCGCCGGCGUCCCAUCCCGGUGGCGGGGGCGGGAUCCGGCGGCGCCUCUCCUGCUACUUCUUGGCGUCCUUGCCCUUGGCGUCCGUGGAGGUGCUCCCGGAGGCCUGCGCCGCCUUCUUGGCGUUCUUCUCCUCCAGCGCCUUCUUGUCCCUGCGGAUCGGCGUCAGUCAGGCCAAGAUUCGAUCAAUUCAGUCGACCGUGGCGCGGCGGAUUGGAUCCGAUCGGGAAAGAUAAGGGAAGGGGAAGGGGACGAACCUCUCGCGGCGCUGCUCCGGGGUGAGGCCGUCGCCGCCGUUCUUGGAGUUGGGCUUCCGCGCCGCGGCGCGCUCGCGGUCGCGCUCCCUCUGGCUGAUAUGAGUCAUCUUCUUGCUUGA
rnacentral:rRNA from 1 species